rnacentral:rRNA from 1 species
UACGGAGGGGGCUAGCGUUGUUCGGAAUCACUGGGCUUAAAGGGCGCGUAGGCGGGCUGCCGCGUCCGGGGUGAAAUCCUCCGGCUCAACCGGGGAGGGUCAUUCGAUACUGAUCGACUCGAAGGCAGGAGAGGGAAGUGGAAUUCCCGGUGUAGUGGUGAAAUGCGUAGAUAUCGGGAGGAACACCAGUGGCGAAGGCGACUUCCUGGCCUGUUCUUGACGCUGAGGCGCGAAAGCUAGGGGAGCAAACGGG